rnacentral:rRNA from 1 species
UAAGCGGAGGAAAAGAAACUAACANGGAUUCCCCUAGUAACUGCGAGUGAAGCGGGAAAAGCUCAAAUUUAAAAUCUGGUGGUCUUUGGCCAUUCGAGUUGUAAUUUAGAGAAGCGUCUUCCGCGCUGGACCGUGCACAAGUCUCCUGGAAUGGAGCGUCAUAGAGGGUGAGAAUCCCGUCUUUGGCACGGACACACCAGGGCUUUUGUGAUGCGCUCUCGAAGAGUCGAGUUGUUUGGGAAUGCAGCUCAAAAUGGGUGGUGAACUCCAUCUAAAGCUAAAUAUUGGCGAGAGACCGAUAGCGAACAAGUACCGUGAGGGAAAGAUGAAAAGCACUUUGGAAAGAGAGUGAAACAGUACGUGAAAUUGUUGAAAGGGAAACGCUUGAAGUCAGUCACGUCGACCGAGACUCAGCCUUGCCUUGGCUUGGUGUACUUCUCGGCUGACGGGUCAGCAUCAAUUUUGCCCCUUGGAUAAUGGCGAGGGAAAUGUGACACCUUUACGGUGUGUUAUAGUCUCUCGUCGCAUGCAAGGGUUGGGAUUGAGGAACUCAGCACGCGCCUUUGGGUGUCGGGGCUUUGCCCACGAUACGUGCUUAGGAUGUUGGCAUAAUGGCUUUAAACGACC